rnacentral:rRNA from 1 species
GACGAACGCUGGCGGCGUGCUUAACACAUGCAAGUCGAACGGAAAGGCCCUGCUUUUGUGGGGUGCUCGAGUGGCGAACGGGUGAGUAACACGUGAGUAACCUGCCCUUGACUUUGGGAUAACUUCAGGAAACUGGGGCUAAUACCGGAUAGGAGCUCCUGCUGCAUGGUGGGGGUUGGAAAGUUUCGGCGGUUGGGGAUGGACUCGCGGCUUAUCAGCUUGUUGGUGGGGUAGUGGCUUACCCAGGCUUUGACGGGUAGCCGGCCUGAGAGGGUGACCGGCCACAUUGGGACUGAGAUACGGCCCAGACUCCUACGGGAGGCAGCAGUGGGGAAUAUUGCACAAUGGGCGGAAGCCUGAUGCAGCAACGCCGCGUGCGGGAUGACGGCCUUCGGGUUGUAAACCGCUUUCGCCUGUGACGAAGCGUGAGUGACGGUAAUGGGUAAAGAAGCACCGGCUAACUACGUGCCAGCAGCCGCGGUGAUACGUAGGGUGCGAGCGUUGUCCGGAUUUAUUGGGCGUAAAGGGCUCGUAGGUGGUUGAUCGCGUCGGAAGUGUAAUCUUGGGGCUUAACCCUGAGCGUGCUUUCGAUACGGGUUGACUUGAGGAAGGUAGGGGAGAAUGGAAUUCCUGGUGGAGCGGUGGAAUGCGCAGAUAUCAGGAGGAACACCAGUGGCGAAGGCGGUUCUCUGGCCUUUCCUGACGCUGAGGAGCGAAAGCGUGGGGAGCGAACAGGCUUAGAUACCCUGGUAGUCCACGCUGUAAACGGUGGGUACUAGGUGUGGGGUCCAUUCCACGGGUUCCGUGCCGUAGCUAACGCUUUAAGUACCCCGCCUGGGGAGUACGGCCGCAAGGCUAAAACUCAAAGGAAUUGACGGGGCCCCGCACAAGCGGCGGAGCAUGCGGAUUAAUUCGAUGCAACGCGUAGAACCUUACCUGGGUUUGACAUGGAUCGGGAGUGCUCAGAGAUGGGUGUGCCUCUUUUGGGGUCGGUUCACAGGUGGUGCAUGCCUGUCGUCAGCUCGUGUCGUGAGAUGUUGGGUUAAGUCCCGCAACGAGCGCAACCCUUGUUCACUGUUGCCAGCACGUUAUGGUGGGGACUCAGUGGAGACCGCCGGGGUCAACUCGGAGGAAGGUGGGGAUGACGUCAAGUCAUCAUGCCCCUUAUGUCCAGGGCUUCACGCAUGCUACAAUGGCUGGUACAGAGAGUGGCGAGCCUGUGAGGGUGAGCGAAUCUCGGAAAGCCGGUCUCAGUUCGGAUUGGGGUCUGCAACUCGACCUCAUGAAGUAGGAGUCGCUAGUAAUCGCAGAUCAGCAACGCUGCGGUGAAUACGUUCCCGGGGCC